rnacentral:rRNA from 1 species
CUGUGAAAGCCCGGGGCUUAACUCCGGGUGUGCAGUGGGUACGGGCAGGCUAGAGUGCAGUAGGGGAGACUGGAAUUCCUGGUGUAGCGGUGAAAUGCGCAGAUAUCAGGAGGAACACCGAUGGCGAAGGCAGGUCUCUGGGCUGUUACUGACGCUGAGAAGCGAAAGCAUGGGUAGCGAACAGGAUUAGAUACCCUGGUAGUCCAUGCCGUAAACGUUGGGCACUAGGUGUGGGGGACAUUCCACGUUUUCCGCGCCGUAGCUAACGCAUUAAGUGCCCCGCCUGGGGAGUACGGCCGCAAGGCUAAAACUCAAAGGAAUUGACGGGGGCCCGCACAAGCGGCGGAGCAUGCGGAUUAAUUCGAUGCAACGCGAAGAACCUUACCAAGGCUUGACAUACACCGGACCGCGCUGGGGACAGCGUUUCCCUUCGGGGCUGGUGUACAGGUGGUGCAUGGUUGUCGUCAGCUCGUGUCGUGAGAUGUUGGGUUAAGUCCCGCAACGAGCGCAACCCUUAUCCUAUGUUGCCAGCACGUGAUGGUGGGGACUCAUGGGAGACUGCCGGGGUCAACUCGGAGGAAGGUGGGGAUGACGUCAAAUCAUCAUGCCCCUUAUGUCUUGGGCUUCACGCAUGCUACAAUGGCCGGUACAGUGGGUUGCGAUGCCGUGAGGUGGAGCUAAUCCCUAAAAGCCGGUCUCAGUUCGGAUCGAAGUCUGCAACUCGACUUCGUGAAGUUGGAGUCGCUAGUAAUCGCAGAUCAGCAAUGCUGCGGUGAAUAC